rnacentral:rRNA from 1 species
CAGACCUCUAAUCGGAAAG